rnacentral:rRNA from 1 species
UGAGGAAUAUUGGUCAAUGGUCGGGAGACUGAACCAGCCAAGCCGCGUGAGGGAUGAAGGUGCUAAGCAUUGUAAACCUCUUUUGUCAGGGAACAAAGGCAUCCACGAGUGGAUGUGUGAGUGUACCUGAAGAAAAAGCAUCGGCUAACUCCGUGCCAGCAGCCGCGGUAAUACGGAGGAUGCGAGCGUUAUCCGGAUUUAUUGGGUUUAAAGGGUGCGUAGGCGGCCUGUUAAGUCAGCGGUAAAAGCCCGGGGCUCAACCCCGCGAGCGCUGUAACAGCUGGCUGGAGUUGGGCGAUGAGGUGAUGCGGAAUGCGCGGUGUAGCGGUGAAAUGCUUUAGAUAUCGCGCAGAACUCCGAUUGCGAAGGCAGCAUGCCGGCGCCACACUGACGCUGAGGCACGAAAGCGUGGGGAUCAAAACA